CAAGUCUGAAAAAUGAUCGCGAUGCAUGCUGCAUCGAGGAAAGUCCGAGCUCCAUAGGGCAGGGUGCUGGAUAACGUCCAGCGAGGGCGACCUUAGGGAAAGUGCCACAGAAAAAAACCGCCGGGGAACCGGUAAGGGUGCAACGGUGCGGUAAGAGCGCACCAGCAGUCAGGUGACUGGCUGGCUAGGUAAACCCCACCUGGAGCAAGACCAAAUAGGGAAGGGAUGAGGCGGCCCGCUGAGCCUUCCGGGUGUGUCGCUAGAGCCGGCAGGCAACUGACGGCCGAGAUAGAUGAUCAUUACCACGCCGUGCGGUGUGGGACAGAACUCGGCUUAAUGAGGACUUGAGCA
rnacentral:RNase_P_RNA from 2 species